rnacentral:lncRNA from 1 species
AUGCAUUUUUAAUUUGUUAUUGUUGUGAAUUCUAUGUCAACUGUUUGCUAAUAUAGGCGGCGCAGAGAUAUGAAAACCAAACCGUGACAAUACACCUAAGCUAAAAGGUCAACGCACGCCUAAACUAGCAGCUCAACUCAUGAUUGGACUAAUAAUUUAAAACUAAAACUAAAACCUAAACCUAUUUUACAAAUAAAACUCAUAAUUAGGCUAACAACCCUACCCAUCAACUAACGACUUGACGGUAUGCUAUUCCUUCUUUUUUUUAAAGCUUCACUACCAUCGAAAUAUAUAUAACAGUAGUAAAAUUGUAAACUUUUAUUUUUAUACCAUAGUAGUAUGGCUAUGAUUGGAAGGUUGUAGUGUCAGUCAAGUUGGAAAAACUGUUGGCACUUUUUUUCUGAAUCAAUGGAAUUCUUAUCAAACACAUGCAAACGUAUAAAGAAGACUUGAAUAGAUAAUCUUUGAAUUCAAACAAAUCCUAGUCAACUGAACAACGCAUCUACCUCAGCAGUCCUUGGGAAAUGUAUAAAUAGGCAAGCAUUAAACUUUUAUAUAUAAAACCAUCAAGAUCUCUAUUUUUAACUCGGUGGUUUCUUUCACAAGACUUACUUCAAGAACGACAACACAUCCUGACAGUUAAUUCAUUAAUACUAAUACUAUCGAGGAUUCUGUCAUCCAAGUGGAAUGAACAUGGGCAUCAAAGGAAUGUUUCCUCAAAGUGAGAACUAUAGUGUUGCAAGCGAAUACUUGGUCGCUUAGAACAAAACGAAUUACUGUCAUUAGGAUAUGCUCAAAAGUGUGGCGCUAUAUCUUGUAUCUAUUGCUACGUUCAUUCAUUGAUCCAACAGCAUGGGUAUAGAAAGAAGACGAUAAGCAGGAGUUGCGCAAACGAAGUUAUGGAGUUUCUUGCAUGCAUGCAUGUUUUGGCAUAAAGCUGGUACUUCGAAAUAUGCCUAUGAAAUCUCUACCUGCUUUGCACCCUAAAUAUAACGUGUCGUCUUGUAGCUGCAUGUGAAUUACAACGAUUGAUAGAUGAAAAACAAAUCGACUUGUUGCCCAUUUCAUCGUUUCAAACGACUGGUAGUGUUGCUUGUGUCCAUAUCCAUGCUGUGUCCAUAUCCAUACUAUGUCCGUGUGUUUUGCUUUAUUACACUUGGUCAAAGAAAUCUAUAUGAUGUUCUUUACGAAACCCACAAAGUCAUUAGGGAUAUCAUUCGAACAGAAGGGUAUGUAUGCAAAAUACACUACAAGGACUAAGCCCAAGCACCGUAUUGUUUCAGUCUCGAAGUAAUUCUAUGUACCCGUGCAUUGGAGAUGCGUUUAAUUAACAUGGUGCGAUUGGACUUGAGUGAGCUGACAGCACUGUAUGAGGGUCUGUUUGCCAAGAUUCAGGACUUGUUGAAAGAGUUAUUACAACUACAACUAUAACUAUAACUACAACUAUAACUACAACGAUAAGAACUAUCACUACUCUGAAGACAACGAUGUGUUUUCUCAAGAUGAUAACGGAUCUAGCUUCGCCAUCAAUAAGUAUGAGGCAAAGGAGUCCAUCUUUGAUGAAACAUCCAUUUGCCUGUUGUACAUUUUUGCAGGACAACCAGCCUGAGCACAAGAGACAUGGUGUACUAGACUUUGUGCGGAAUGUCUACUUCAAAACUCGCAUCUUUAUAUCUGAUAUAUAGAGAUAUAGAGAUAUAGAGAUAUAGAGAGAGGCUGAUGAUUUAUAAACACAAACGAUAAGACUUGUAACAUGAAGUUUAUCGAAAAAGUCAAUCUUUAAAUUCCUUUCUGAACCUCUCUGUUAUGUCAGUGCUUCGGUACCAUGCUUUUAGUGCGGUCAUUUAAAGGCAUAGCGAUGAUAGUUCUAAAGUUACUGUAUUGAUCAAUUGGAAGAACAUCCAAAUAAAAAAAAGCAUGCAAAAUGCUAGUAUUAUCAGUAACUGCAAAUAAAAAAAGAUAACAAAAAUUUACAGGAUCAUCGAGAAGAGUAGAUACUGAUAAUAUUGAGAUCCACAGCACUCAACAACAGUCUUGGAUUUAUUUAGCCAUUUGCUUAACUUACUGUCUCAACAAUAUUGUUGUUUGGCAUCGCCAUAAAUAUAUGACCUAGAAGUAAAAUUCGUGUUGUCGAAACAAUUCCAAUCGGUUCACUUUUCUCUUUCAAAAGUAUAUCGAAGUAGGAAUGAUGUACUCCCAACUGCGGAUGGAAAAAGUUCUUUAUCGAUUUUAAUAUCUGGUGUUGUGGAAAAAAACGAAAUACGAUCAAAAUUGAGAAAAUUAAGAAAGAAUAUGAAUAUGGUUUUACUUAUUUUACUACCCAUGAUGUCGUUGGUUAAAAACAUGAUGUUAAGGGUGAACCGCAGCAUAUUGGUCGUUUUUAAUUAAGGAAUUGAAUGACUUUCAAAGAUGCACAGUAAUCCUUCCUUAAUCACCAUUUUAGAUUUAUUAAUUUCAACAUACGCUCUCCAUGUACUUGGAAUCGAAUUGAGAACUUGUUAUGCCACAAAUGAAUAUCUUUUUAUUGAGUAACAUCGUUAAUAAAGCAAAUGCUUCACGGUAUUUUUUGAAAUCUUUGACAGUAUUUGUUCAGCUGGGAUGGAUGAUAAUUUGACGAGGCACAUUCCUUAUACGCAAACGAAAGAUACAAUUUCGCUUUGGCAAAACAUUGCAAAUGUUGCAAUUGUCCCAAUUAUAUAUGCAUCAUUAAAUUUGCUUAGCAUUACUUUUUCCUUGGUAGUUACAUUCAGUGCCAAACAACCGCUUUAACCUUUCAUACAAAACUUUUGUGUAUUCACAGAAGCAUCCACUGGGCGGGAAACCAUUUUUCUUGUUUCUGCAUGUAUUCUUAGAAGAGAUUUAAGCUUUCCCUUGAAUUUUCGAAUGUUGAUAAAAACAAAAUAAUAGACUUUGGAAAGGUGAUUCAAUGAAUAAACAUGAAACGUUCACCGUACAUUAAUUAAGCAUCCUUUUCGACCACCCUGACUUGUUCUCUCAUCACAUCUUGAUAACCAUUUACACGAGAGAUUUAAAUGAAGAAGAAUGAAAAAUUCACUUUGACGAGUCUUGGAACCCCUAACUUGGAAAGGCACAGAUCAUGAUUGCUACAAAAGCAUUUGCACUCGGUUUCAGCUAUAGGAAGUGUGAUUGGUCGUACAUGAUGGAUUGACAUUCUCGUCUAUUUGGAUCACAUACAGAAGACAAGCCAAGUCAGAGCAGACAAUACGUAUGCGAUUGAGACAUUAUUUUUGUGAAAUUUAUGAUUCUUCCACAUGUUUGAAUGAUGUAGAAGAUGUACAGGAAACUUUUAAUGAUGAUACGAUAUCGGUUCAAUCACAAUUCAUAAGCGAAACGAAUGCCAAAUACUAAUACUAUAUAUCCAUGAAUCAUUUACCAAUAGUAUUUUUACUGUUCGUGAAUGCUGAGAAAGUUUAUGUCUAAUGUAUUAGCUGUGUCAACCAUUUAUAGUGUGAAGCCACUUUCCACUUGCAACGCUAAGGAUACCUAGACGCACAAAUACAUUAUGCUAGUGGCACGGCCAAAAUUAUUUACUCCAAAGUCUUUAUCCUCUUCGUUUAUAUCGCUAACAAGAAAUCGUAGUCACAAAUGUACAUACGUUGAAACAUUUGAACAACGUACAACAAGCCAAUAAUGACAAGAAUGGAGAUGAAAGUGGUGAUGGUUAGUGGUAGUCGUGGUAGUAAUGGAAGUGGUAAGUGGAAGUGGUAAGUGGAAGUGGUAAGUGGAAGUGGUAAGUGGAAGUGGUAAGUGGAAGUGGUAAGUGGAAGUGGUAAGUGGAAGUGGUAAGUGGAAGUGGUAAGUGGAAGUGGUGGUGGUGGUGGUAGUGCUUGUGGUAAGUGUAAGUGGUAAGUGGAAGUGGUAGUGGUAGUGGUGCUGUGCUGAUGCUGGCGCCGAUACUGGUGAUGAUGUUGAUGCCUAUACUGACACUAGUACUGACACUAGAUGACACUAGUACUGGUACUAAUGGUACCAUUCAACUUGGCAAGUAUAAGACUUAUGUGUGUAAGUGGUAAAAAAUCAAUGAGUAAACUCCACUAAGAAAAUUUCACAACUCCGUUGAUUCUUUUGAGUAUACAAACAUGAACGUUCAAGUUUUACCUUUGUUAAUUCAAUUCUAAUUAUACUGGUUUGUACUUGCUAAGCAUGUCCUGUUCACUUAUCUAAUUCGUUUCAAUUGCGGCAACUCUGGUCCGAUUUAUAAUUCGAAGGACUGAGUUUUUACCCUUUGGAUAAAGUUUUUCAACAUACUUACAAUGAUUAUGGUCUCCACUCCUGACGUAGGUCCAUGUGGUAAUAGAACACAAACUUCAAAAUCUCAUCACUAUAUUAUACUUGGUACAACAUGCAAUACCGAUUGUAUAUACCGAAUACAGUUUCCUAUUGCAAUGAAUGUGAUUUAAUCAUUUUAUGGGAGUUUUUUCAUUCAAAACUGCUUUAAAUCUAAAAACUCUUCUUUAUUCUUGACACUCGUAUAUGUUGUCUGAUAUUCCUAUUCGUGUUUCAAUAACGAAGUUUACUUUCAUUCAAAUAAAUAGAACCAAUCAAGUUUACUAGUGCUUAUUUUUUUCUUUUUUAAUAAAAAGAAUGAAUAUUAGGUGUAUGAUAUGAAUACGUUUUUGUUUGUUUGUUUGCAAAUUAAAAUUAAAAACAACAAAAAAUUAAAGCUACUGAUUUAACUUUGCUUAUUCCAUAACACUUCUUACUCAAUCUCACAUA